UUUUGCUCUCCAGUUUCUCACGUUAGAUUCUGGGAUCUUUGUAUUUAGAGUGAGCCACACUUCAAGCUUCCCCAGUUGUCUGGAUUGUAGAUGGACUAGUGCAGGACAGCCUCCAUAACUGCAUGAACCAAUUCCUAUGAUCAAUCCCCUGUCUGCCAUUCUACCUACCUGUCUACAUAGUUUAUCUGUGUAUCAAUCAUUUUGGCUCUCUUUCUCUGGAGAGACCAGACAACUAUAAAUAGUAAUAAUGGAAGAGUGUUUCAAGUGAUACUUUGUAUAAAUUGAAAUGAAAGAGCAAGCAAAGAUUUUCCAGCUGUAUGAGUCGCCUGGUCAGAUUAAUCAGAGUGCAUCAAUCUGCCAAAUGUGGCCUUCUUCUGGUGGAGAUCCAAAAGCUCACAGUGAGGGUCCCUGCAUUAUCUACAAGCUUCCUGUCACUCUGACAGAAUACCUGAGAUAAUAUAUAACUGUGGGAGUCAGUCCUCUCCUUCCACCAUGUAGUGUCAGUCCUCCCCUUCCCUCAUGUGGAGUCAGCUUUCCCCUUUCACCAUAUUAGUUUCCAGGAUCGAAUUCUGGCCAUCAGGUCUGGCACAGGCACCUUACCAACUGAGCCAUCCCACCAGCUCAGUCUACAGUGUUUUCAAGUGCCCUUGGAACCAUUACCAAAUCAAACUCUAUCCUGGAUUAUAAAUGUUUAUGGGAGCCUACUGUGUGCUGAAGAUACCCUCGAUAUACCAAGGAAAGUGGUACACAGCUCCUGAUUAAGGGAGCUUGUUGGCCAGUGGUACAGCAUCAUGGACCAUCACAGGCUGGGGAGACAUCAAGCACAGAGGCUUGUUUGAUGUCACAGUUCUGCUCCAGCAUCAGGAGGAUUGGCUUCUUGUUGACUGAUUCAAGGUUUGAGGUAACACUGGACUUCACCCAAUAAAAGACAGCAAACCUGUG